rnacentral:rRNA from 1 species
CCUACGGGGGACAGCAGUGAGGAAUAUUGGUCAAUGGACGAGAGUCUGAACCAGCCAAGUAGCGUGAAGGAUGACUGCCCUAUGGGUUGUAAACUUCUUUUAUAAAGGAAUAAAACGAGGCACGUGUGCCUCUUUGCAUGUACUUUAUGAAUAAGGAUCGGCUAACUCCGUGCCAGCAGCCGCGGUAAUACGGAGGAUCCGAGCGUUAUCCGGAUUUAUUGGGUUUAAAGGGAGCGUAGAUGGGUUGUUAAGUCAGUUGUGAAAGUUUGCGGCUCAACCGUAAAAUUGCAAUUGAUACUGGCAGUCUUGAGUACAGUAGAGGUAGGCGGAAUUCGUGGUGUAGCGGUGAAAUGCUUAGAUAUCACGAAGAACCCCGAUUGCGAAGGCAGCUUACUAAACUGUGACUGACGUUGAUGCUCGAAAGUGUGGGUAUCAAACAGGAUUAGAUACCCGAGUAGUC